UACGUAGGGUGCAAGCGUUGUCCGGAAUUAUUGGGCGUAAAGAGCUCGUAGGCGGUCUGUCGCGUCGGCUGUGAAAACUCGGGGCUCAACCCCGAGCCUGCAGUCGAUACGGGCAGACUAGAGUCCGGCAGGGGAGACUGGAAUUCCUGGUGUAGCGGUGAAAUGCGCAGAUAUCAGGAGGAACACCGGUGGCGAAGGCGGCUCUCUGGGACGGUACUGACGCUGAGGCGCGAAAGCGUGGGGAGCAAACAGG
rnacentral:rRNA from 1 species